UGAUGAAGUUGAAGGAAUUGAAGUUGCAUGGAUCCAAGUGAUGUUUAUUCCGAGUUUCACUUACUACAGACGCUAAAUUGUUUACCUCGAUGAAUUUGAGGCAGCUCGACCUGGGUGUUGAAGUACAUAUGUGGUGUUCGAUUUCGUAAAUUAUUUUGACAAAGAUCAAUGAUUUCCUGCUGCAACCUAAAUAUGGGCUUGAAGAUAUGCGAUUCUAUUUUUUAUGAUUAUGUAUGGCGGCGUAUUGCUUUAUCAUGGAUGGCACAAAAAAAAGACUAAAAGUUUGUAAUGCUUUGGAGUUAUUGAUGACCAGGUGGCUUAG